UACAGAGGUCCCAAGCGUUGUUCGGAUUUACUGGGCGUAAAGGGUGCGUAGGCGGCAGGGAAAGUUCGGGGUGAAAUCUCCAGGCUCAACUUGGAAACUGCCUUGAAUACUUCCAUGCUCGAGGGCCGAAGAGGAGAUUGGAAUUCUCGGUGUAGCAGUGAAAUGCGUAGAUAUCGAGAGGAACAUCAGUGGCGAAAGCGAAUCUCUGGUCGGCAUCUGACGCUGAGGCACGAAAGCCAGGGGAGCAAACGGG
rnacentral:rRNA from 1 species